CGCCUCUUGCAAAACUAACGAAUAAGAGGUCUCGCCUGCCCUGUGACUGUGUGUUUAACGGCCGCGGUAUUUUGACCGUGCAAAGGUAGCGUAAUCACUUGUCUUUUAAAUGAAGACCUGUAUGAAUGGCACAACGAGGGCUCAACUGUCUCCUCUUUCCAAUCAAUGAAAUUGAUCUUCCCGUGCAGAAGCGGGAAUACCCACAUAAGACGAGAAGACCCUAUGGAGCUUCAGAUAACAAGGCAGACCAUGUUAAAUACCCUUACAAAAAAGAUUAAACUAGCGGAAUACUGCCCGAAUAUCUUUGGUUGGGGCGACCGCGGCGAAACAAAAAACCCCCGCGUGGAAAGAGGGGACCACCCUUCAAACCAAGACCUACCGUUCUAAUAAACAGAAUGUCUGACCUCUAAGAUCCGGCAAUGCCGAUCAACGGACCGAGUUACCCUAGGGAUAACAGCGCAAUCCCCUUUUAGAGUCCAUAUCGACAAGGGGGCUUACGACCUCGAUGUUGGAUCAGGACAUCCUAAUGGUGCAGCCGCUAUUAAGGGUUCGUUUGUUCAACGAUUAAAGUCCU
rnacentral:rRNA from 1 species